AAACUCAAAGGAAUUGACGGGGGCCCGCACAAGCAGUGGAGUAUGUGGUUUAAUUCGAAGCAACGCGAAGAACCUUACCAGGUCUUGACAUCAGAUGCAUACCUAAGAGAUUAGGGAAGUCCUUCGGGACAUCUAGACAGGUGGUGCAUGGUUGUCGUCAGCUCGUGUCGUGAGAUGUUGGGUUAAGUCCCGCAACGAGCGCAACCCUUAUCAUUAGUUACUACGAAAGAGGACUCUAAUGAGACUGCCGUUGACAAAACGGAGGAAGGUGGGGAUGACGUCAAAUCAUCAUGCCCUUUAUGACCUGGGCUACACACGUACUACAAUGGCAAUUAACAGAGGGAAGCAAUACCGCGAGGUGGAGCCAACCCCAGAAAAAUUGUCUCAGUUCGGAUUGGAGGCUGCAACUCGCCUCCAUGAAGCCGGAAUUGCUAGUAAUCGCGGAUCAGCAUGCCGCGGUGAAUACGUUCCCGGGCCUUGUACACACCGCCCGUCACACCAUGAGAGCCGGGGGGACCCGAAGUCGGUAGUCUAACCGCAAGGAGGACGCCGCCGAAGGUAAAACUGGUGAUUGGGGUGAAGUCGUAACAAGGUAGCCGUAUCGGAAGGUGCGGCUGGAUCACCUCCUUUCUAAGGAG
rnacentral:rRNA from 1 species